UGGUCGGGCUGAUUCCAAAUCCACAUUCUUGGCAGCCCGAUAACAAAAAAGGAGGGUAAAACCAAACUCCGGGAGACUCCCGGUGCGGCAUUGUGGAGACAUGCCGUAAUGCGUUCGCCAAGCCCGGCGUUCGCGAGAAUGUGCGCGCGGAGGCGGCACAGUCAGGGUCAGUCAGUAUGGCA
rnacentral:ncRNA from 1 species